AGGGAUAUAGCUUAGUGGUACAGCAUUUGCCUAACAUGUAUAAGGCCCUAGGUUCAAUCCCUAGGACCACCA
rnacentral:tRNA from 1 species